CAGGCCUAACACAUGCAAGUCGAACGGCAGCACGGACUUCGGUCUGGUGGCGAGUGGCGAACGGGUGAGUAAUACAUCGGAACGUGCCUAGUAGUGGGGGAUAACUACUCGAAAGAGUGGCUAAUACCGCAUGAGAUCUACGGAUGAAAGCAGGGGAUCGCAAGACCUUGUGCUACUAGAGCGGCUGAUGGCAGAUUAGGUAGUUGGUGGGAUAAAAGCUUACCAAGCCGACGAUCUGUAGCUGGUCUGAGAGGACGAUCAGCCACACUGGGACUGAGACACGGCCCAGACUCCUACGGGAGGCAGCAGUGGGGAAUUUUGGACAAUGGGCGCAAGCCUGAUCCAGCAAUGCCGCGUGCAGGAUGAAGGCCUUCGGGUUGUAAACUGCUUUUGUACGGAACGAAAAGCUUCGGGCUAAUACCCUGGAGUCAUGACGGUACCGUAAGAAUAAGCACCGGCUAUUACGG
rnacentral:rRNA from 1 species